GGAGAUAAUUUAAAAUAUAUAGGAGAAUAUGCAUUGAUUAUAUGCAAAUACUACACUAUAUUACAUAAGUGAUUUGAGCAUGUAUGGAUUUUGGUGUCCGUGGGGUGGUGGAACCAACUUCCCAUGGACACUGAGGGACGACUGUACUUGAGUAGGAGAGGAUUGGGUCCUUUCUGUGAACACAGACAAACACAAAAUCCAAAACUCGAGGUCUGUCACUUACCAGCAGUUGGACCUCUUUGGCAAAAACAUUUAACUUUUCUAAGCCUCAGUUGCAUUACGGCUUGUGGAACAGGAGGCUCAGUUAGUGAGCAUCUAGUGGAGCUGCAAAUUGUUUUAAUGUUGCCUAUGACAAGGCUGGUGCUUAUUUAGCUGCUAGAGAAAAAGAAAAAACCUUGUGGCAGUUAGAACAUAGUUUAUUCUUAAGUGUUGUGGUGCAUGACUCAACCCGUGCCUGGCAUGGCCUUAGGUCUUGUUUAUAGUUUGGUAUUGACACAAGAAGUCCACUCUUUCAGCCUUAUGAUCUCUAUUUUAACAUUACUGCUAGUUAGUUGUUGUGUUUAAACCACAAAAGGUAUGUGGUAUAAUGAGGUUUGCCUGACCUCUGGUCCCAUCAUGUCCAGGAACACAAUUUUUAAAGUUGCCCUGGGGUCGCCUUUGCCAAAAGGAGGUCCUUUCAGUUGAUUUCGGCCUUCGGAUUUUAUUUUUAGUUUACAUCCUUUAAUAUUACUUAACAUAUUACUUACUUAAUAUUACUUAUCAUAUUACUUACGGCUUCAAUAGCUUCUGAUCUGGGUAAGCAGAUCUCGUUAUUAUGGAUGUUCCUGUCCCUCCAGAUUCAGGGUUGCAUUUAGCCAUUUGACAUAUUUUCUAUGGGUCCAAGAAAAAUCACUGUUUUCAGUUUUCCAGCUAUUUCUUCUAAGAAUGGUUGUGACAACUUUUAGUCUUUUUAUAUGUCAAAACUGAAAUCCUUUAUGUAUUUAUAUUUUAAGCCAGC
rnacentral:lncRNA from 1 species